CCUACGGGUGGCAGCAGUAGGGAAUCUUCCACAAUGGGCGAAAGCCUGAUGGAGCAACGCCGCGUGGGUGAAGAAGGUCUUCGGAUCGUAAAACCCUGUUGUUAGAGAAGAAAGUGCGUGAGAGUAACUGUUCACGUUUCGACGGUAUCUAACCAGAAGGCCACGGCUAACUACGUGCCAGCAGCCGCGGUAAUACGUAGGUGGCAAGCGUUGUCCGGAUUGAUUGGGCGUAAAGGUAACGCAGGCGGUCUUUUACGUCUGAUGGGAAAGCCUUCGGCUUAACCGGAGUAGUGCAUUGGAAACUGGGAGACUUGAGUGCAGAAGAGGUGAGUGGAAUUCCAUGUGUAGCGGUGAAAUGCGUAGAUAUAUGGAAGAACACCAGUGGCGAAAGCGGCUCUCUGGUCUGUAACUGACGCUGAGGUUCGAAAGCGUGGGUAGCAAACAGGAUUAGAUACCCGAGUAGUC
rnacentral:rRNA from 1 species